rnacentral:rRNA from 1 species
GACGAACGCUGGCGGCGUGCUUAACACAUGCAAGUCGAGCGGUAAGGCCCUUUCGGGGGUACACGAGCGGCGAACGGGUGAGUAACACGUGGGUGACCUGCCUUUAGCUCUGGGAUAAGCCUGGGAAACUGGGUCUAAUACCGGAUACGACUCCGCGGUGCAUGCUGUGGGGUGGAAAGCCUUGUGCGGCUGGAGAUGGGCCCGCGGCCUAUCAGCUUGUUGGUGGGUGAUGGCCUACCAAGGCGACGACGGGCAGCCGGCCUGAGAGGGCGACCGGCCACACUGGGACUGAGACACGGCCCAGACUCCUACGGGAGGCAGCAGUGGGGAAUCUUGCGCAAUGGGCGAAAGCCUGAACGCAGCGACGCCGCGUGAGGGAUGACGGCC